CACAAAUUCUUUUUUAAUUUUUUUUUUUUUACUUGCUUCAGUCAUUUUGACUGCGGCCAUGCUGGAGCACUGCCUUUAGUCGAGCAAAUCGACCCCAGGACUUAUUCAUUCCGUCAAUGAAACAAAUACCAGUUGAGCAUUGAUUGUCACUGAAGCUGAAAGAAAAGAUGUAUUCUGCAAAUAUUAAAGAUGGAAUACAUGCCUCUGAAUGUAAAACUGUGCAGAGGAAAGACUGGGUGAAGAGUUUGAAGAAAAAUCUCGGAUGUGAUGCACACAAGAUGCAUGUCCAGAGUAAGAAGAUAAAAAAGGUAAACUGACAUCUGACUCUUCAAAGAAGACUUCAAAAGUAAGUAAUAACAACUUCUGACAAUCGACAAAAUUUGGCAUCAUGGUGUUAUGAAGUACCAACAGGAAAAAGAUUUAACCUCCAAGGACAUUCACGCUGACAUGGUUGCUACAUUUAGGGAUGACACUCUAGCUGUAUCAACAGUGCAAAAGUGGGCAGCUAAAUGUAGGAGGGGAAUGGAGAGUCUGAAAGAUGACCCAAGUCUGGACAUCCUGCAACUGCCACCACUGAGGAAAACAUUGUGUUCACUACAUGCUGGUGGAUGACAUUCAAUUGAUUAUAAAUCAAAUGGCCAAUGCUGUUAGCAUAUCUUCUGAGAGAGUUGAGAAUAUUCUGCACAAGGAAUUUCUGUUCAGUGGUUUCUGUUCAGCAGUGGCUGCCACAUGAUCAAAAGCACAACAAUUCCUAAGCCAGGAUGAGUUUUCAGUUCAUCACUUUGAGCCAGAGACAAAUGGACAAUGCAUGUCAGGGAAAUACCCCCUCUUCACCUGCUCUAAAGAAGGCCAAGGUAGUUCCAUCUGCAGGGAAGGUGAUGGCCUCAGUUUUUGGGAUGCAAAAAGCAUUGUGUUCAUUGACUCUCUUCAAAAGGGCCACACCAUCAAUAGGAGACUACUAAACCAACUUGCUGAGACAGUUAUGAAAAACUAUCAAAACCAAAAGCCCAGGAAAACUGACAAAAGGGGUCUUGAUUCCUUAGAACAACAUUCCAGUAUGCAAGCCCUUCGUUUCAGUGGCUGCCUGUGCAUGUCUGUGGCUUUGAACUGGUUGAUCAGCCUCUCUAUUCCCCUGAUUAGGCUCCAUCUGACUAUCAUCUCUUCCUCAACAUGAAAAAAAAACACUUGGUUGGGAACCAGAAUCACAGUGAUGAUGAUGAUGAUGAUGUCAUAUCUGAUGUUGAUGACUUUCUCGAGCAACAGGAUGAAAGCUUCUUCACCAAUGGAAUCCAAGCACUUCAAAACCAAUGAAGAAGUGUGUGGACUGCAAAGGGAUCUAUGUUGAAAAAUAAACCCCAUUUGGUCAUAUUCCAUGAGAGUAUCUUGGUCAGCCUAUGAACUUUUCAGCUGACCCUCAUAUUACCUAAUCUUUUAUAUCUGACUCUGUUUUAAGCAUUAAUCUAUUGCAUUUCUAUUUCUUUUUAGUCUUUUCUUUCAUUUAUAUGUAUUGUACACUGAUAAGUUCACUGAUUCCUAAAUAUUUGUGAAUUUGUAAUUGGUCAAAUUCUAUUUACUCAGUUUCCUUAUGUAACAUGAUAUUAGUGUUCUUCAUUAAUUUUCCUCUCUUCGUUAGUCACCUUGGCAAUUUUUCUCAGACAAAUCUCAUACUGAUCCCUUUAGCAAAUCUAUGAACUGACUGCAGAAAUGUUAGCACAUUGGGUAAAAUGAUUAGCAGUAUUUUACCUGUUGCUACAUUCUGAAUUCAAAUUCUGCCGAGGUCAACUUUGCCUUUCAUUCUUUGCAGAGGUUUCUCUUCAAUCUAUCUAAUGGGUUCUCUUUGAAUUUCAUUCUUGUCCUUCUCCCCUAUUUCACACUUGAUCACCUCUUCCUUAUUCACUGUCUUCAAUAGUUUCUCUCUGCUGUUCUGUAAAUAUUCUAGUAGGUUUUUUUCUUUCCAUCUGUUCACACUCUUCCACAUCAAUUAAGUUUCUUCCACCCUGUUCUUAGUCUUCUUGAAUCUCCAGAAUCUUUCUUAGGAAUCUUGCAGAAUACAGGAUGGCACUUUUCUGCAGGUUAACAACACAUGUCUCAAUUCCAAAGGCCUUCAGCCCCUUAGGUAGCAGUUUGGUUGUUAUGCUGAGUACGUCAAUUACAAAAGGGACAGUUAUUACUUUCGUCUUUCACAAUCUCAUCUCUCUGAUUUUGUCUGAUUUUUCUCAAUUUCUUUGGCAUCCUCUCUACUAUGGUAUUGCAAAGUCUAUGGCCAUACACCGUUUGUUUUCUCUGUCCUCUAUAAUCAUAUCUUGUCUAUUUGCUCCAAUUGUAAAUCUCUAUGGAGAUGUUCCAUAAACUCCUGUAGUUACUGUUUCACCACAAUGACCUCUGGCUCGUAUUUGUACCAUUUUCCCAUCAUUUUCAAUCCUAAUGUACUCUUUUGCUGGCACCGUCAUACCUAUGUGUCUACUCGAUAUGUGCUAGCUACUCACUUAGGAAAUGGUUAAUAUAUUUGUCCCCUUUUCCACACAUUCUGCAUUUAUUCUCCAAGUCUUAUCAAUCUUGUCUUUAUCAAAUUCAUUCUAAUGGCUUGUUCCUAAAUGCUUUGAUUAGCUUUCAGUCUCCCAUUUCAGGUUUCCAUGUCAGCCAUAACCAAACAGCAUUCUUUACUCACAACUUUCUCAGCUUUUUUGCUUGAAUUAGCCUUGUGAUUCUUUCUUUCCAGCAAUUUUUCUUAUCAUCUUCUUUUUCUCUUCUUGACUACUUUCACUAUUUCAUGGUUCUUGAAACAUGCAUAUCUGUGUUCAUUUCGCUUCACUUUAAACCUAAACCAUAUUUAUAGCAUUACCAAAUGAAAUUUUCUUUGGAGUAUUUGCUAAAAAAGGAUUAUUAUUCUAAGGAAAGCCUGCCUGAGGCAUAAACAAUAAGAAAGAAGCUUUGUUUUUACAGACUUUUUCUUAUUUAUUUAGAUACAUGAC